rnacentral:rRNA from 1 species
UUGUACGCUGGCGGCAUGCCUUACACAUGCAAGUCGAGCGGCAGCGCGGGGGCAACCCUGGCGGCGAGCGGCGAACGGGUGAGUAAUACAUCGGAACGUGUCCAGUUGUGGGGGAUAACCAGUCGAAAGAUUGACUAAUACCGCAUACGAUCCACGGAUGAAAGCGGGGGACCGCAAGGCCUCGCGCUAUUGGAGCGGCCGAUGUCGGAUUAGCUAGUUGGCGGGGUAACGGCCCACCAAGGCGACGAUCCGUAGCUGGUCUGAGAGGACGACCAGCCACACUGGAACUGAGACACGGUCCAGACUCCUACGGGAGGCAGCAGUGGGGAAUUUUGGACAAUGGGCGCAAGCCUGAUCCAGCCAUGCCGCGUGAGUGAAGAAGGCCUUCGGGUUGUAAAGCUCUUUCGGCGGGGACGAAACGGUCCGUGACAACACCACGGACUAAUGACGGUACUCGCAGAAGAAGCACCGGCUAACUACGU